UUAAGUGACUAAGCGUACACGGUGGAUGCCUAGGCAGUCAGAGGCGAUGAAGGACGUGCUAAUCUGCGAUAAGCGUCGGUGAGCUGAUAUGAAGCAUUAUUAGCCGGCGAUGUCCGAAUGGGGAAACCCAGUGCAAUUCGUUGCACUAUCGUUAAGUGAAUCCAUAGCUUAACGAGGCGAACCAGGGGAACUGAAACAUCUAAGUACCCUGAGGAAAAGAAAUCAACCGAGAUUCCCCUAGUAGCGGCGAGCGAACGGGGAGCAGCCCAGAACCUGAAUCAGUUUGUGCAUUAGUGGAAGCGUCUGGAAAGUCGCGCGAUACCGGGUGAUAGCCCCGUACACGAAGGUGCACAGCUGUGAGUUCGAUGAGUAGGGCGGGACACGUGUUAUCCUGUCUGAAUAUGGGGGGACCAUCCUCCAAGGCUAAAUACUCCUGACUGACCGAUAGUGAACCAGUACCGUGAGGGAAAGGCGAAAAGAACCCCGGCGAGGGGAGUGAAAUAGAACCUGAAACCGUGUACGUACAAGCAGUGGGAGCACCCUUUGGGGUGUGACUGCGUACCUUUUGUAUAAUGGGUCAGCGACUUAUAUUUUGUAGCAAGGUUAACCGAAUAGGGGAGCCGUAGGGAAACCGAGUCUUAACUGGGCGUUGAGUUGCAAGGUAUAGACCCGAAACCCGGUGAUCUAGCCAUGGGCAGGUUGAAGGUUGGGUAACACUAACUGGAGGACCGAACCGACUAAUGUUGAAAAAUUAGCGGAUGACUUGUGGCUGGGGGUGAAAGGCCAAUCAAACCGGGAGAUAGCUGGUUCUCCCCGAAAGCUAUUUAGGUAGCGCCUCGUGAACUCAUCUUCGGGGGUAGAGCACUGUUUCGGCUAGGGGGUCAUCCCGACUUACCAACCCGAUGCAAACUGCGAAUACCGAAGAAUGUUAUCACGGGAGACACACGGCGGGUGCUAACGUCCGUCGUGAAGAGGGAAACAACCCAGACCGCCAGCUAAGGUCCCAAAGUCAUGGUUAAGUGGGAAACGAUGUGGGAAGGCAUAGACAGCCAGGAUGUUGGCUUAGAAGCAGCCAUCAUUUAAAGAAAGCGUAAUAGCUCACUGGUCGAGUCGGCCUGCGCGGAAGAUGUAACGGGGCUAAACCAUGCACCGAAGCUGCGGCAGCGACACUAUGUGUUGUUGGGUAGGGGAGCGUUCUGUAAGCCUGUGAAGGUGACCUGUGAGGGUUGCUGGAGGUAUCAGAAGUGCGAAUGCUGACAUAAGUAACGAUAAAGCGGGUGAAAAGCCCGCUCGCCGGAAGACCAAGGGUUCCUGUCCAACGUUAAUCGGGGCAGGGUAAGUCGACCCCUAAGGCGAGGCCGAAAGGCGUAGUCGAUGGGAAACAGGUUAAUAUUCCUGUACUUGGUGUUAUUGCGAAGGGGGGACGGAGAAGGCUAGGCCGGCCGGGCGACGGUUGUCCCGGUUUAAGCGUGUAGGUGUGAUGACCUGGCAAAUCCGGUCAUCUUCAACACUGAGGCGUGAUGACGAGGCACUACGGUGCUGAAGUGGUUGAUGCCCUGCUUCCAGGAAAAGCCUCUAAGCUCUAGAUAACAUUGAAUCGUACCCCAAACCGACACAGGUGGUCAGGUAGAGAAUACCAAGGCGCUUGAGAGAACUCGGGUGAAGGAACUAGGCAAAAUGGUGCCGUAACUUCGGGAGAAGGCACGCUGGCAUGUAGGUGAAGUCCCUCGCGGAUGGAGCUGAAGCCAGUCGAAGAUACCAGCUGGCUGCAACUGUUUAAUAAAAACACAGCACUCUGCAAACACGAAAGUGGACGUAUAGGGUGUGACGCCUGCCCGGUGCUGGAAGGUUAAUUGAUGGGGUCAGCCGCAAGGCGAAGCUCUUGAUCGAAGCCCCAGUAAACGGCGGCCGUAACUAUAACGGUCCUAAGGUAGCGAAAUUCCUUGUCGGGUAAGUUCCGACCUGCACGAAUGGCGUAAUGAUGGCCAGGCUGUCUCCACCCGAGACUCAGUGAAAUUGAACUCGCUGUGAAGAUGCAGUGUACCCGCGGCAAGACGGAAAGACCCCGUGAACCUUUACUAUAGCUUGACACUGAACAUUGAACCUUGAUGUGUAGGAUAGGUGGGAGGCUUUGAAGUGUGGACGCCAGUCUGCAUGGAGCCGACCUUGAAAUACCACCCUUUAAUGUUUGAUGUUCUAACCUGGUCCCGUAAUCCGGGAUAGGGACAGUGUCUGGUGGGUAGUUUGACUGGGGCGGUCUCCUCCCAAAGCGUAACGGAGGAGCACGAAGGUUAGCUAAUCCUGGUCGGACAUCAGGAGGUUAGUGCAAAGGCAUAAGCUAGCUUGACUGCGAGAGUGACGGCUCGAGCAGGUGCGAAAGCAGGUCUUAGUGAUCCGGUGGUUCUGAAUGGAAGGGCCAUCGCUCAACGGAUAAAAGGUACUCCGGGGAUAACAGGCUGAUACCGCCCAAGAGUUCAUAUCGACGGCGGUGUUUGGCACCUCGAUGUCGGCUCAUCACAUCCUGGGGCUGAAGUAGGUCCCAAGGGUAUGGCUGUUCGCCAUUUAAAGUGGUACGCGAGCUGGGUUUAGAACGUCGUGAGACAGUUCGGUCCCUAUCUGCCGUGGGCGUUGGAAGAUUGAGAGGGGCUGCUCCUAGUACGAGAGGACCGGAGUGGACGCACCGCUGGUGUUCGGGUUGUGAUGCCAAUUGCAUUGCCCGGUAGCUACGUGCGGAAGAGAUAAGCGCUGAAAGCAUCUAAGCGCGAAACUUGCCUCGAGAUGAGUCUUCCCUUGGACCUAGAGUCCACUGAAGGAACGUUUAAGACUAAGACGUUGAUAGGCUGGGUGUGUAAGCGUAGCGAUACGUUGAGCUAACCAGUACUAAUGAUCCGUGAGGCUUAACCUU
rnacentral:rRNA from 1 species